AUGGAGAGUUUGAUCCUGGCUCAGGAUGAACGCUAGCGGCAGGCCUAAUACAUGCAAGUCGAACGGUAACAGGACCAGCAAUGGUCGCUGACGAGUGGCGCACGGGUGCGUAACACGUAUGCAAUCUACCUUUAACUGGAGAAUAGCCCCGAGAAAUCGGGAUUAAUACUCCAUAAUAUUAUGAAGUGGCAUCACUUUAUAAUUAAAGCUCAGGCGGUUAAAGAUGAGCAUGCGCGAUAUUAGCUAGUUGGUGAGGUAACGGCUCACCAAGGCGACGAUACAUAGCCGACCUGAGAGGGUGAUCGGCC
rnacentral:rRNA from 1 species